CACCACUGUACAGUUUUCUAGUGAAAGUCGUUCACUGCUUUACAUAAAGCAUAUCAGCUGUUUCAAAGUCCCAACCAAUUGUCUUCCUAAAAUACUGGUCCUUCCGUAUAACAAUAACCUCGUAUGUGAUUGGAGGACCCUCAGACUCCUCGUCCAAUCACGUGUGAGGUCAUAGGCAUGACUCAGACAGCAGUACUUGCAAGACGAGCAUACAAACAGACAUAUUCAGAAGAACUGUAUCUCCAGUUCCUUUGUUUGGUUUUUGCUGCUUCGUAAAUAAUGGCGGGACGACGUCUCGCCUUCAACUCGCCUUCAACUCCUCUCCGCGGUCACCAACUUUCGGCCAGUCCGCAGACAGACGAGAAGAAGCUGCUGAAAGCUCUCAGUGGAUCGUCUCGUCAACUCCAACAACAAACUGCUGAUAUCAGCGAGCGGUUCGCUCCACUGGAGCGUUCGGGACUCUGCGGGUUUCUGUCCAUGGAGGAGAGGAACCGACUCAAAGAAGAGGAGACGGGAGCACGAUCCCAAGAUAGGGGAAGCGAUGCGCCGUCUUCACAACGCCGAGACGAAUUACAGGCGCUACGAACCGGAGCAAGGACUAAUCUCGCCUCAUAAUGAGGCGGUGACCUCGUAUUUGCUCCGGGAAAAGUCCAGAUUUAGACGACGUCAUUGUGUCCGCCUGUAAGACGGAUUGUGAGACGAUAUGCAGGAGCUUCAGGUUCAGCCGGAACACUCAUUGCGGGCGGAAGCUGCGAAGGAUUCAGCGCGGAGUCGAGCGAGAAGAAAGAGGCUGCUGGAAUCGAGACAAAGUGUGCUGGCUGAUGACGAGGUGGAACUCUGGAAAUCCACCACCGUGGAGCUCACGUCGGAUGGAGGGGACGGCGUUGUUGGCGGGGUCUCGGGUGGAUCGUACGGUCGCCACACACACACGAGCCGCAUGCACAACAGACCUGCAUUGGAAAACUCGCCGCCAGUGACGGUCUACGACCCCGAGGAGGCAAAAGUUUACUGAGCUGUAGUUUUUAAACCGC
ensembl:lncRNA